rnacentral:lncRNA from 1 species
CCUGGGCAACAUGGCAAAACCCCAUCUCUACAAAAAAAAUAGAAAAAUUAGCCAGACGUAGUGGCUGUAGUUCCAGUUACUCAGCAUGCUGAGGUAGGAGAAUCACCUGAGCCUGGGGAGCUCUACAACAUGCCUGUAGUUCCAGUUACUCAGGAGGCUGAGGUGGGAGAAUCACCUGAGCCUGGGGAGGUCGAGGUUGCAGUGAGCUGAGAUCAUCUCACUGUAUUCCAGCCUGGGUGACACAGUGAAACCCUGUCUUGAAAAAAAAAAAAGAAACAAAAAAAGAAAAGUAAUGAAUCUAAUGAAAAGUAGGAAUUCAAGGAAAUAGAUAAUGGGCAAACUUUCAUAAUUUUUAAUAUCCUUCAUAUGGGCUCUACAGAUAUGGCCCUCUCAAGUUAGAUCUAGAGUAGAGGCCAUCCAAUUUUUUGUAAGUUCCCUAAUGAAAGACCUAUGGGCUAACAAAAUGUUCCAUCUAAACUGUGUCUUUCCCUAUUACUAGUUAAGGUUUGGCCUGUGUGUUAUGGCUAAACAUGGAAAACAUGGCUAAUUUGAUAACUAAAACUUGAGUCGCAGCUUACCCCUGUGUCAUUUUCUGUAAUUAUAAUUAUAUAAUUUAUAAAGGAAGGGUAAUUUAUAAAGUAAGAGGUUUAAUUGACUCACAGUUCUUCAUGGCUAGAGAGACCUCAGAAAACUUACAAUCAUGGUGGAAGGGGAAGCAAACACGUCCUUCUUCACAUGAUGGCAGGAAGGAGAAGUGCGAAGCAAAAGGGGGAAAAGCCCCUUAUAAAACCAUCAGAUCUCAUGAAAGCUCACUCACUAUCAUGAGAAUAGCAGCAUGGUAACCACCCCCAUGAUUCUGUUACCUCCCACCAGGUCCCUCCUAUGACGCAUGGGGAUUAUGGGAACUACAAUUCAAGAUGAGAUCUGAGUGGGCACACAGCCAAACCAUAUCACCUAGAAACCUUCCAAUAAAUUAUUUUUCUUUAAGCUAACAAGAGCCACUUUCUCUUGCUUCAUGUUUUCUCUGAUCUCCCAGAGUUUACCUUCAAGAGGAAUUUAAAACACUUUAGCAAGAAGCAGCAAAACAUGGUUGCUAAGUAUUCUAAGAGAGAGAAGUGGAGUGAAUGGACCAUGUGAGUAUGGGAUCUAAGCCCAUAGGUUGGGAAUAAAAGUUGAGGAGAAGCAGGAAUUAGGUGGGCAUCAAGGGGAGCCAAAUAUUCUAGACACAGGCAUGAGUUUGACAGCCCCGAGCCAAAAGAAAGCAAGACAUGUUUGAGUAAAUGAAAGCAGCUCAAAAUGAUUAACACAUGUAAGUAUAUGAGAACGGAGAUUCAUGAUAAUAAUGACUCAUGUAUUGAGAGUUUAUGUUCCAGGCACUAUUCUAGGUCAUUAGAGGCAAUAACUGAUUUAGUUCUCACAAUAUUCCAGUGAAGUAGGUAACAUUGUUGGGAGACAUAUCUCCCCGGGUCUCUUGAAUUUCUGCACAUCUUAUGAGCAGAGGCACUGACAGUUUAUGUUCCAGACUGGUAUUUUUAAGGAUUGCAAACAGCUUUCAAAGAUAGAGAUUAUGUCUCUCCCAGAGCAGAGGGCAGAUUUGUUCACUGUUAUAAUUAUAAUAAAGAUACUAUUUCAUGCUGAGGCAAAGUUCAGGUGGAUUUGCUCACAGCCCAGUUAAAAAGAGCUAGAAUUCCUAAGCUCAGGGUUUGUUAGCUGUGAUGCAAACCCACUGUGUGUACAGCAUCCAACUGGACUUGCCAGGAUACGAACCCUUGUGAAUGUGCUCUGGAGCUUAUAGUGUUAACCACAGCAGUGAGACUAAAGAAGCAAAAUGGAAAUAAAUCACACAGGGCCUUGUAAGUCCUGUUAUACAAUUUACAUUUUAUCCUAAGAGUAAUAAAGAAUCUACUAGUUUGAGUGGGUUAGCUGCUGUAACAAUUAGACUUCAAUAUGUACAUUGGCUGAAACUCAACGGAAAAUCAUUUCUUUCUCAUGUAAUAGUUUGAAGCAGAAGAUUCAAACUAUUACAUUCAAACUGUCGGUGGGCAGUCCUCUUCUUAAAGAUGACUCAAGAACUCAGGCUUCUUCUGUUUUGUUUCUCCAUCAACCCUUAGGGUCUUAUCUUUUUCCAGCCAGAAGAGACAAGAAGACAGCAUAGAAAACUACAUUUAUUUCUUAAAAUCCAUGGCUUGUAAGUGACCUACACUAUUUUUGUUAACAUUCCAUUGGCAAGAGCUUCAUCACAUGGUCACACCCAGAAAUAAGAAUGGUCUGUCAAAUGUAGUUGCAGCUUUCUGAAGAUAACUCUAUCCUAUGGAAGGGGAACAUACAUUUUGGGGGACAGCUAGCCAUCUGUGCCACAGGGAGCCACUCAAAGAUUUAAACAAGUGGGAUAACACAUUUAUACUGCAAAUUACUGGCUGCAAUAUGGAUAUUUUUUGGAGCGAAUAAGACAGGAGAUGGGGGGAAAAACAGGGAUUUAUUGUAGUAAUCUAGAUAAGACGCUAGACCAAACCAGACAAGAGAAAAUAAACAGGAAAGAGGAAAGUAGAUGAAGUCAAGAAAUAUUGAAGAGGUGAAAUCUACAGGAUGCUCUCUCCACUAAAGUACAUCCAUCCUCCUACCUAACCACUUAUUUGCAGGCCUGUUUUGACCCUAUCCCUGAUUCUAUUUCUGUGUUUGUAUUUGCAACACAAUAAUGAAUGUUAAAUGGGGUUGGAGGGGAGAGAUAAAGCUAACAUUUUUAAAAAUUCAAAAUGAAGACUUUCAUGCAGGCUCACAUCCUUACUUUCAGAGACACAUACCAGAUCCAGGGUUCCCUGCUCUACAUGGCCCACUGCAGAAGGAACAGUGGAGCGGGGUAUAACAAAUAAUUCAUGUUUGAAUAAUCUAUGCUUAUUUAAGAAAUAUGUGUGUGUUGGUGUGUGUGAGGGCAUGUGUUCUAGUUUCUAGUCUUCAUAAUAAAGACAAUAGAUAAGGCUCUGGCAAUGGCGUAUAUUAUAUUUAUAUAAUGAUAUAAAAUGGAGUUUGGGUUCCCCAGAAAGCAACUCUGUGAUGGAGACUGGCACACAGGAAUUUUACGGGGGUGGGAUUGCUCUCAGAGUCAUCACUUGUAGAGGCACAAAAGGAUUAUUGCUUAGAGGAAGAAGUUGAUCUAGGAUACAAUAGCAAUUAGAGCUUCCGCUGAUACUACACAGAGGUUGGAUGGCCUUCAGAAUUGUCCCCAGCUGGGGCAAGGGCAUUUGUAUUCUUGAGCGAAUCAGUCAUAUUGGGUGUGGACUGCCCUCAGGAAAAGGGCAUGACCUUGGGCAAGAAAUCUCUCUUUAGCCUGAGGGAAAGUCCUGGAGAAGAACUGAGCUAAGAGCUAUCAGCUGCCAACGUUCCCAGAAGCUGGGGGAAUAAACACCUGAGUUCUGGAAAGAAGAGCUCAGAACAGCCUACCUCAGUGUCUCCUAUACAGGUACUUGCCGACUGACUCUGGCCUUGACCCCUGCCACACACAUGCAUGCAUACACCACACACACAUGCACACCCACAUGCAUACACACUUUGGUAAUAUGCAAGUGUUUCUAGAAAUAAGAUAAUGUACUGUAACACAGGACUCAUUUAACUAAUAUUUUACUGGAGUAUGUAUUUCUUAUCUCUCCUUUCAUCUCAUCCUAAAGAAAUAUGAUAUCCUUGGGGCAGAUUUUAGUUUAUCCCAAAAUUAACAAUAUAAUCCCCUCUCAGGCCUCUCUCUAGUGUAGAAUAUGCGGUCAGGUAUUAGAAAGAAACAGAGCUGGGGCUAAAUCUUAAUUCUGUAACAUACAGUUGUGUGGUGAUAUACAAACCAUUUAACCUCUAUCACUCUUAAUUUCAUCAUCUGUAAUGCAGGGAAAAUUAAAGCACUUUAGUGUUGUGAGGAUAAAAUGAGAUAAUGCAAGUAAAGCGUUUAGCAUUGUCCUGGCACAUAGAAAGCUUACAACAAGUGAUACUAUGAUUAAUACAGCAUGGAUUUAAAUAUACAGUGGGUCAAAUCAUGGCUGUUAGUAGAAUAAGAUCCAGCAAGGUUCUCCAAGAACAGAGGUAGCGAACAUAUUCCUGAAAGCUGCCUGUAGAGGAAGUCCAGUCAUUUUGUUCCAUCACUACAAAUUCUCUGUUCCUCAGAGGCUUGCUCCGUAUGAAUCCUUGCUAACCUACGUAUGGAUGAAUAAAGGUGAGAUUUCAAAACACGAUUGUAUUUAGUCUUAGUCACCAAAAGCCUUACUCUAAACCCUGAGUAAGGUUGUGGUAAGAAACACAGGGCACCCCAUUAUCGUUAGUAACCACCAACAAAGGCUUUAUUCAGGCAUCACUUCCUGGCCUGGAUUUUGGGUCCUUAUUUCACCCUUCUGUGUCGAUUUCCUUUUGUAAACCAGUUUUUAGGCUUCUCAGCUUCAGUGUUUAUAGCUAUAAGAAACAUUCACCAACUGUCUAUGCAGGGAGCUCUUUGUGAGUCUGGGACUGUUUCCUGUGCACACAAGUAGAUGACAUUUCCCAGCAUCCCUUGCAGUCUGUGUGACCAGUUGACAAGUUCUAGCCAAUGAAACAUAAGCAGAAGCGGGGUAUGCCAUGACCCAGCAGGGUGACUAGCUGUCCCUAUUUACCCAGGACUGAGGGGUUCCCCUGGAUAUGGAAUUUUCUGUUCUAAAAGCAGUAUAUACGAAAGUUCCCUUUCCUGGCCAAAAAUAAAAAUAAAACCAGUAUAAUUUGAAGAAAAUCAGGUUGAGUUGGUAACCCUAGUUCCUGGCCUAGCCCACAAAACUUCCUGCACAUCACAUCACUGCCAUGUUUUUUCUCCUUUCAGUUGCUUAAACAGCCAUCACAAACAGCAAGCUCGGAAGCUGUAUUUUGAAGACAGCAGAGGCCCUUGUCCACCUACCCACAAGAAGAAGCCACCUUACUGUCACCCCAUUGACUUGGAACAUCCACUAUGUGGAAAAGAUACUUCUAUUGUACUUAAGUCACCACAGCCUGGGCCUAUUUUCACAGUACUUUAGCCUGUCCUGACAAACG